GUCUCUUCGGAGACAUCCGAUAAAAUUGGAACGAUACAGAGAAGAUUAGCAUGGCCCGUGCGCUGGCGAUAUUUGCUUGGACCUGAGUUCGUUGAGCUAUUG